rnacentral:rRNA from 1 species
GAUGUUGGGUUAAGUCCCGCAACGAGCGCAACCCUUGUCUUUAGUUGCCAUCAUUAAGUUGGGCACUCUAGAGAGACUGCCAGGGAUAACCUGGAGGAAGGUGGGGAUGACGUCAAAUCAUCAUGCCCCUUAUGCUUAGGGCUACACACGUGCUACAAUGGGUAGUACAGAGGGUUGCCAAGCCGUAAGGUGGAGCUAAUCCCUUAAAGCUACUCUCAGUUCGGAUUGUAGGCUGAAACUCGCCUACAUGAAGCUGGAGUUACUAGUAAUCGCAGAUCAGAAUGCUGCGGUGAAUGCGUUCCCGGGUCUUGUACACACCGCCCGUCACACC